GCCACAGCAGGGUCGCCGCGGGGUCCCGGGGCCGUGCUCCCCUGCCCCUCCCGGGAGCGCGCGGGGCGGGGAGGGGCGGGGCUGGGCGGGGAGGGGCGGGACCAGGCUGGCGAGCUGGGCCCUCGCCCCUCCCUCGGGCAGUCACCUGGGCACGGGCGCUGCAGGUGCCGGGGCCUCAACCUUGCGGAGCCGACAGCCAUCGAUCCUUGGGUGGCCUCGAGGUGGUGGCAGGGCCGCCCCCUGCAGUCCGGAGGCGAACGCACGGACCCGGCCUCCGGAGGCAGGUUCGGCUGGGAGGAACCGCUCCCGCUUCGUCCUACACUUGGGCAAAUGUCUCCGGCUUUCGGCAUUAUGUCUGUACUGAAUAAAAGCAAGCAGCUCCAGCUGUUCGAGGCUGCUCUCUUCUUCAGCCAUUAGUGCCGGGCAGCCCACUAGCUGCUGUUACACUGCAUAUGUGUGUCUGAGUACGCCUUUCUUCAGUUGCUUGGCCAGGGUCUGCGGGACAGACCCAGCAGCUGGUGCCCUGUGUGAGGAAUGCUGCAAUGGAUCGCGACGGAACCCUCAAAAACGAAGAGCUUACUCACAUAGCAUAUUGUUAUAUCAAAAUGAAAUGCAAGGAACCAAAAAUAACAUAAUUGAAGGCAGUAAAAGUGAAACUGAAUAGGAAGAUCAUCAGUCAAGGAAGACCCACUGGAGAGGACAGAAAAUAAAGGAAGCAGUGUUUUAUCAUGUGUAUUUCAGCAGGUCUUCUUGAAAUUUAACUAAAAAUAUGACUGCUCUCUCUUCAGAGAACUGCUCUUUUCAGUACCAGUUACGUCAAACAAACCAGCCCCUAGACGUUAACUGUCUGCUAUUCUUGAUCAUAGUUGGGAAAAUAUUAUUAAAUAUCCUUACACUAGGAAUGAGAAGAAAAAACACCUGUCAAAAUUUUAUGGAAUAUUUUUGCAUUUCACUAGCAUUCGUUGAUCUUUUACUUUUGGUAAACAUUUCCAUUAUAUUGUAUUUCAGGGAUUUUGUACUUUUAAGCAUUAGGUUUACUAAAUACCACAUCUGCCUAUUUACUCAAAUUAUUUCCUUUACUUAUGGCUUUUUGCAUUAUCCAGUUUUCCUGACAGCUUGUAUAGAUUAUUGCCUGAAUUUCUCUAAAACAACCAAGCUUCCAUUUAAGUGUCAAAAAUUAUUUUAUUUCUUUACAGUAAUUUUAAUUUGGAUUUCAGUCCUUGCUUAUGUUUUGGGAGACCCAGCCAUCUACCAAAGCCUGAAGGCACAGAAUGCUUAUUCUCGUCACUGUCCUUUCUAUGUCAGCAUUCAGAGUUACUGGCUGUCAUUUUUCAUGGUGAUGAUUUUAUUUGUAGCUUUCAUAACCUGUUGGGAAGAAGUUACUACUUUGGUACAGGCUAUCAGGAUAACUUCCUAUAUGAAUGAAACUAUCUUAUAUUUUCCUUUUUCAUCCCACUCCAGUUAUACUGUGAAAUCUAAAAAAAUAUUCCUAUCCAAGCUCAUCGUCUGUUUUCUCAGUACCUGGUUACCAUUUAUACUACUUCAGGCAAUCAUUGUUUUACUUAAAGUUCAGAUUCCAGCAUAUAUUGAGAUGAAUAUUCCCUGGUUAUACUUUGUCAAUAGUUUUCUCGUUGCUACAUUGUAUUGGUUUCAUUGUCACAAGCUUAAUUUAAGAGACGUUGGAUUACCUUUGGAUCCAUUUGUCAACUGGAAGUGCUGCUUCAUUCCACUUACAAUUCCUAAUCUUGAGCAAACUGAAAAGCCUAUAUCAAUAAUGAUUUGUUAAUAAAUAUUAUUAAUUAAAA